AUUGAACGCUGGCGGCAGGCCUAACACAUGCAAGUCGAGCGAGCGGCGGACGGGUGAGUAAUGUAUGGGGACUGCCCGAUAGAGGGGGAUAACUACUGGAAACGGUAGCUACUACCGCAUACUCUCGGAUAACCCAUAUUGGAUUAGCUAGUAGGUGAGGGAAUGGCCCAACUAAGCGACGAACCCUAGCUGGUCUGAGAGGAUGAUCAGCCACAGUGGGACUGAGACACGGCACAGACUCCUACGGAGGCAGCAGUGGGGAAUAUUGCACAAUGGGCGCAAGCCGGAUGCAGCCAUGCCGCGUGGAUGAAGAAGGCCCUAGGUUUGUAAAGAACUUUCAGUCGGGAGGCGUUACCGACAGAAGAAGCACCGGCUAACUCCGUGCCAGCCGCCGGGGUAAUAG
rnacentral:rRNA from 1 species